rnacentral:rRNA from 1 species
GAUGAACGCUGGCGGCGUGCCUAAUACAUGCGAGUCGAGCGAACAGACGAGGAGCUUGCUCCUCUGACGUUAGCGGCGGACGGGUGAGUAACACGUGAAUAACCUACCUAUAAGACUGGGAUAACUUCGGGAAACCGGAGCUAAUACCGGAUAAUAUAUUGAACCGCAUGGUUCAAUAGUGAAAGACGGUUUUGCUGUCACUUAUAGAUGGAUCCGCGCCGCAUUAGCUAGUUGGUAAGGUAACGGCUUACCAAGGCAACGAUGCGUAGCCGACCUGAGAGGGUGAUCGGCCACACUGGAACUGAGACACGGUCCAGACUCCUACGGGAGGCAGCAGUAGGGAAUCUUCCGCAAUGGGCGAAAGCUUGACGGAGCAACGCCGCGUGAGUGAUGAAGGUCUUCGGAUCGUAAAACUCUGUUAUUAGGGAAGAACAAAUGUGUAAGUAACUAUGCACGUCUUGACGGUACCUAAUCAGAAAGCCACGGCUAACUACGUG